CCUACGAUAUUGCUCGUGAUAUAUUGUACCAUCGACACAUUGUCCAUCCUCAGGAGAAUGCAGUAAUCUAACAGGUGGCCCGCAAGGCUCCGGUUUUCCUUCCGAAUGGUUGUGAUCUUGGACUGGGGAAGACAUAGGAUACACUGAGUUGCGUCUAUUUCGAAUCCUAAGAAUUGUACCACAUGCGCUGGUGUGAGAGUUUACUUUUCCACAAAACCCAAGUGUUCGAACAAAGAGAUCGCAGAGAGUGUUUGAGAUCUCAGUCUGGAAGAGUCCUCGCAGAAUAAUAGCAAAC